ACUCUCGCGACAGCGGAUAUCUCGGCUCUCGCAUGAAGAAGAGCGUAGCAAAAUCGAUACUUGGUGUGAAUUGCAGAAUCCGUGAACCAUCGAGUCUUUGAGCAUAGUUUAAGCCCCAAACCUUACGGCGAGAACGCGUCUGCUGGUGUCACAAAUCGUCGUCCCCAUCCUCUCGGGAUAUGGGAUGGAAGCUGAUCUCCGUGUGUUACCGCCGCGGGUUGGCCAAAAAUCGAGCUAAGGGCGUCGGGGCGUCUUGACAUCGCGGUGGUGAAUUUAAUUCUCGUCAUAUAGUCAGGCGUUCGGUCCAAAAUCUCUUGAUGACCCAAAGUCCUCAACGCGACCCCAGGUCAGGCGGGGAUCACCCGCUGAGUUUAAAAGCAUAUCAAUAAAAGCGAGGAAAAAAACUAACAAGGAUUCCCUUAGUAACGGCGGCGAACCGGGAAGAGCCAGCUUGAAAAUCGGAUGUCUUGGCGUUCGUGUAGUCUGGAAAAGCGUCCUCAGCGGACGGACCGGCCCAAGUUCCCUGGAAAGGGGCGCCAGAGAGGUGAAACCCCGUCGUGCCGGACCCUGUCGCACCACGAAGCUGUCUGUCUCUGAGUCGGGUUGUUUGGGAAUGCAGCCCCAAUCGGGCGGUAAAUUCCGUCAAAGGCUAAAUAUGGGCGAGACCGAUAGCGAACAAAUACCGCGAGUAAAGAUGAAAAAGGACUUUGAAAAGAAGUCAAAGAGUGCUUGAAAUUGUCGGGAGGAAGCGGAUGGGGGCGAUGCGUCCUGGUCGGAUCGCGGAGCGAACAAUCCGGUCCGCCCGAUCGAUUCGAGGCGUGGACCGGCGGGAUUAAAGGUGGUGACCUAAGCCGGGCUUUUGUUUCGCCCAGCGCGGAGGCGUCGCUGCCUUAAUCGUGGUCUGCAACAGCGCCCCUCCACGGCGUGCCUCGGCAUCUGCGUGCUUUCGGGCGUCGGCCUGUGGGCUCCCCAUUCGACCCGUCUUGAAACGGACCAAAGGAGUCUGACAUGUGUGCGAAGUCAGCGGGUGAAGUAAACCCGUAAAAAAGCAAAAGGAAGCUGAUUGGCUGGAUCCCUCACGGGUGCACAGCCGACCGACCUUGAUCUUCGAGAAGGGUUCGAGUGUGAGCAUGCCUGUCGGGACCGAAAGAUGGUGAACUAUGCCUGGCGAAGCGAAGCCAGAGAAAACUCUGGUGGAGGCCCGCCCGAUCGUCUGGCGUGCAAAUCGUUAAAUCGACUUGGGUAUAGGGGCGAAAGACUAAUCGAACCAUCUAGUAGCUGGUUCCCUCCGAAGUUUCCCUCGGGGAUAGCUGGGAGCUUCGGAAAGCGAGUUCUAUCGGGUAAAACCAAUGAUUAGAGGCAUCGGGGGCCUUGAUGUCCUCGACCUAUUCUCAAACUUUAAAUAGGUAGGGCCAGGUGGCUGCUUUGUUGAGCCAUCCCACGGAAUCGAAAAGCUCCAAAGUGGGCCAUUUUGGUAAGCGAACUGGCGUCGCGGGAUGAACCGGAAGCCGGGUCUGGUGGUGCCCAACUGCUUGCGCUAACCUAGAACCCACAAAGGGUGUUGGUCGAUUAAGACAGCGGGGCGGUGGUCAUGGAAGUGAAAUCCGCUAAAGGAGUGUGUAACAACUCACCUGCCGAAUCAACUAGCCCGAAAAUGGAUGGCGCUGGCCGCGACCUAUACCGGCCGUCGGGGGCAAGAGCCGAGCCUCGAUGAGUAGGAGGAGGGCGGCGGUCGCUGCAAAACCUAGGGCGCGAGCCAGGGGAAACGGCGUCGGUGCAGAUCUUGGUGGUAGUAGCAAAUAUUCAAAUGAGAACUUUGAAGGCCGAAGGGGAAAGGUUCCAUGUGAGCGGCACUUGCAUGGGUUAAGUCGAUCCUAAAAGUCGGAAAACCCGUCUGAUAAGCGCUUAUCGCGAACCCGAAAGGGAUCGGUUAAAAUUCGGAACCGGGCGUGGCGGUUGGCGGCACAGCGUUAGAAGUCCGGAGGCGUCGGCGAGAAUUCGGAAAAAAGUUAUCUUUUCUGUUUAACAGCCUGCCCACCCUGGAAGCGGCUCAGCCGGGAGGUAGGUCCAGCGGCUGGAAGAACACCGCCGUCGCGUGGUGUCGGUGCAUUCCCGCGACCCUUGAAAAUCCGGAGGACCGAAUUGCCGCUCACGCCCGGUCGUACUCAUAACGCAUCAGGUCUCCAAGGUGAACAGCCUCUGGUGAUGGAACAAUGUAGGCAAGGGAAGUCGGCAAAAUGGAUCCGUAACCGGAAAAGGAUUGGCUCGAGGGGGCUGGGCUCGGGGUCCCAGUUCGAACCGUCGACUGUUGGCGGGCUGCUUGAGCUGCUAACGUGGCGAGAAGCGGACCUGAUAGACCGCGGUCCGCGGAUCAGUACAUGGGCCGAACCAGCAUGAAGAUCAGGGCGUUCAGAAGUUUUUCAACCGAGGUUCAUGAUUUUCACCAUACUGGCCAGACUGACGACUGUCCCAAAUGCAUCCGGAUGGGAGCUUUGGCUGGAACCAUGGCCAGAUGAUCCCGGAUUUCACUGUACUGGACUUUGUCUUCACCGUCCUGUUUUCCAUUUGAUGAAGAACAGUUCAGACGGAAUCGCAUUUGGGCGCCGCGGAUCCUGAGUUAGGUCAUUGCUAUACAUUUCUGGACAGUACCAUGUACCGCCCCGGAUGUCCGGUUUGAGGCUUCAUCAAUACCCAUGUCCAGACGAUCAAAUUCCACCGAACUGGAGCUCGUAUUUCCCGUACUGAUUGGCAUUUUAAGAGCAACGGUCGAGACAGAUUUGGAUUCGGACGAGUGGAACUCAAGAUAGGCCAGCCAUGACACUUCAAAACUGGCUACUUUGGACUGUCCUGCUUGUGUACUGGCCCAGUCCGCAGGACAUGCUUCAGGAAAGCAAAUGAACCUGGACGAAUUUGAAGGGGGUUUUCACUAGUCAAAGUGUGAUUUCGUGCCUUGACCAGAUCUGGUCAAUUUUAUCAUUUUCUAUGUUUAGAUUUCCCACAUUUUUUUCUUUAAGUCUUUUGACUAGAACUUCUAUAUAAUGUAACCAUCAGAUCUGAAUAAGAUAAUUUCGUUUUGCUUUCAUUCUUUUGAGUUUUUACUCUCUUUGUUCUUUUGUUAGAACAUUUCUUAGUUUCUUGGUGAGGUUAUCUCCAAGUUUCAUCCUUCUUUUUGUUGGACCCGGUCGUCACAUCCGGCAACAUUGAAGUCUGGUAGUAUCUUUGGGCUAUUCCAUAACCCUUAGUGUCACCGUUCAUACCAUCAGUUCUCAAUCCUCUCGGAUCUGAGUUCAUAUCAACCUUACCGAAAGAGUGAUCCUUUAUUUUGGUUCUAUCAAAAGUGGUAUAUCGAGCCACUCUUCCUAUUGAUUGUCUAUUUCAUUCAUCUUUCUCAUCUUCCAUUUUCUUAUAAACACUUCUUCUUCUACCUUUUCUUAAAUCCGGGCCCUCAUUA
rnacentral:rRNA from 1 species